UACGGAGGGUGCAAGCGUUAAUCGGAAUUACUGGGCGUAAAGCGCACGCAGGUGGCUGAGUCAGUCGAUUGUGAAAGCCCUGGGCUUAACCUGGGAAUUGCAGUCGAUACUACUCAGCUAGAGUAUGGAGAGGUAGUGGAAUUCCCGGUGUAGCGGUGAAAUGCGUAGAUAUCGGGAGGAACAUCAGUGGCGAAGGCGGCUGACC
rnacentral:rRNA from 1 species